CAGUGUGCUGGGGCUGCCCAACACUAGGCCACCGGCUGGGCAGCCUAACCAAGGGAAACGUCUUUUCACACAGUCCUGCCGGCUGGAAGUUCAAGGCCAAGGUGCAUUAAGAAGCAGACCCUGAGACGAAGUUUCAAGUGCAAGUCAUUUGUCUGGGAGAGGACUCCAGGCAGCCUGUGGGGCACAGACCUGUGGGACCAGGAAGCAGCCGAAGCCAGCACAGCACAUGAGCAUGAGCAAGUUCAUGGCUAUGGGAACUGGAGCAGGGGACUCGGGCAGCUCGGAAUGUGCCGCGCCGAGUUCUCCCACCCAGGGGAGCGAGCUGGAGUUGGAGGGACAGUGAAGACAGACACCUUGAGAACACCAACAGACCUACGAACUUGCUCCUUCUCUCUGGCCUGUUCUGGAAGCAUCUGUCUACAACAGCACAUCCCGAACUGCGGUCCUUGUUUUGCACGUGUGAGCACCGCCCUCACCAUUUGUUCACGUGCCUGUGCUUCCUGCACUGGAUCAAUGAAUUGCCAUUUUCUUUAAAAAGCGUGUUGUCACGUGCCACGGAUCUCCACGCCCUGACAGGCUCACAUGGACCAGACCCAGGGAACUUAGCGGUUUCUGACUUGGUUUAAAGGAGAGCGAACAUACAGAAGCACCACGUCCUUCCCAGCGGCCCUAUGUGGGAGCAGCGUUUUCCGCCCCCUCUUCCCCCCCACCCCCACCCUGGAGACUGAGCCAGACCGGCCUGACCCUGGACCCCAAGCCUCUGGGUUGACUGGUCACAGGCUCUUUCCUCCACCCAUGGUCUGCAGCCCCCGGCACCCUCCCAGCCCCACUUGCCAGAAGGGCCGCCCUCUACCACCCUCGCUGGUACAGAGGAGAAGCUGUGGCACCUCCCGGCCUUUCCUGCAUGCACAUGGGCAGUAACGGCGGGAUGCUGCUAAGGGUGGCGCUGGGUAAGGGGCCCGAAGGUCAGGCCCGAAUGUCUGGCUGUCCAGGUUUCUCUGCAGUGAGACCUGAUACAAGUGAGGUUGCCUCUUUUUGGGUCUUGGACAGGUGUUCUCACCUGUAAAAUGAGACACUGUUUUUAUCUUUUAUGUAGAGGAGGAGAUGAUGUCUUUAAAAAAAUUUUUAAGCCAAUUAUAA